rnacentral:rRNA from 1 species
CCUACGGGGGGCAGCAGUGGGGGAUAUUGCACAAUGGGGGAAACCCUGAUGCAGCGACGCCGCGUGAGUGAAGAAGUAUUUCGGUAUGUAAAGCUCUAUCAGCAGGGAAGAAAAUGACAGUACCUGACCAAGAAGCCCCGGCGAAACACGUGCCAGCAGCCGCGGUGAAACGCAGGGGGCCAGCGUUAUCCGGAUUUACUGGGUGUAAAGGGAGCGUAGACGGUUAUGUAAGUCUGGAGUGAAAGCCCGGGGGCCAACCCCGGGACUGCUGUGGAAACUGGGUGACUGGAGUACAGGAGGGGCAGGCGGAAUGCCUGGUGUAGCGGUGAAAUGCGUAGAUAUCAGGAGGAACACCGGCGGCGAAGGCGGCCUGCUGGACUGAAACUGACGUUGAGGCUCGAAAGCGUGGGGAGCAAACAGGAUUAGAUACCCGGGUAGUC